rnacentral:rRNA from 1 species
GACGAACGCUGGCGGCGUGCUUAACACAUGCAAGUCGAACGGUGAAGCUCCAGCUUGCUGGAGUGGAUCAGUGGCGAACGGGUGAGUAACACGUGAGCAACCUGCCCCUGACUCUGGAAUAAGCGCUGGAAACGGCGUCUAAUACUGGAUACGAGAAGGGUCCGCAUGGGCACUUUCUGGAAAGUUUUUCGGUUGGGGAUGGGCUCGCGGCCUAUCAGCUUGUUGGUGAGGUAAUGGCUCACCAAGGCGACGACGGGUAGCCGGCCUGAGAGGGCGACCGGCCACACUGGGACUAAGACACGGCCCAGACUCCUACGGGAGGCAGAAGUGGGGAAUAUUGCACAAUGGGCGAAAGCCUGAUGCAGCGACGCCGCGUGAGGGAUGACGGCCUUCGGGUUGUAAACCUCUUUCAGCAGGGAAGAAGCGAAAGUGACGGUACCUGCAGAAGAAGCACCGGCUAACUACGUG